rnacentral:rRNA from 1 species
UACGGAGGGUGCGAGCGUUGUCCGGAAUCACUGGGCGUAAAGGGCGCGUAGGUGGCGCGGGAAGUCAACGGUGAAAGUUCGGGGCUCAACCCUGAAUCGGCCGUCGAUACUCCCGGGCUCGAGCACUGUAGAGGCAGAUGGAAUUCCGGGUGUAGCGGUGAAAUGCGCAGAUAUCGGGAGGAACACCGGUGGCGAAGGCGGUUCUCUGGGCCUUACCUGACGCUGAGGAGCGAAAGCGUGGGGAGCGAACAGG